rnacentral:rRNA from 1 species
AGGGUUUGAUCAUGGCUCAGGACGAACGCUGGCGGCGUGCCUAACACAUGCAAGUCGAACGAGAUAGCAAUAUCUAGUGGCGGACGGGUGAGUAACGCGUGAGGAACCUGGCUCUAACAGGGGGAUAACAACUGGAAACGGUUGCUAAUACCGCAUAAGACCACAGAGCGGCAUCGCUCAGGGGUCAAAGCUCCGGCGGUUAGAGAUGGCCUCGCGUACUAUUAGCUAGUUGGUAGGGUAACGGCCUACCAAGGCUACGAUAGUUAGCCGACCUGAGAGGGUGAUCGGCCACAUUGGAACUGAGACACGGUCCAA